UAGGGAAUCUUCCACAAUGGACGCAGGUCUGAUGGAGCAACGCCGCGUGAGUGAAGAAGGUUUUCGGAUCGUAAAGCUCUGUUGUAAGAGAAGAACGUGUGUGAGAGUGGAAAGUUCACACAGUGACGGUAACUUACCAGAAAGGGACGGCUAACUACGUGCAG
rnacentral:rRNA from 1 species